rnacentral:rRNA from 1 species
ACGAGCGCAUUGGCCCAACUGAUAUGACGUGCUUGCACUGAAUUGACGUUGGAUUACCAGUGAGCGGCGGACGGGUGAGUAACACGUGGGCAACCUGCCCUGAAGCGGGGGAUAACAUCUGGAAACAGGUGCUAAUACCGCAUAACAACGAAAACCACAUGGUUUUCGUUUCAAAGAUGGUUUCGGCUAUCACUUCAGGAUGGGCCCGCGGUGCAUUAGCUAGUUGGUAAGGUAACGGCUUACCAAGGCAAUGAUGCAUAGCCGAGUUGAGAGACUGAUCGGCCACAAUGGAACUGAGACACGGUCCAUACUCCUACGGGAGGCAGCAGUAGGGAAUCUUCCACAAUGGGCGCAAGCCUGAUGGAGCAACACCGCGUGAGUGAAGAAGGGUUUCGGCUCGUAAAGCUCUGUUGUUGGAGAAGAACGUGCGUGAGAGUAACUGUUCACGCAGUGACGGUAUCCAACCAGAAAGUCACGGCUAACUACGUGCCAGCAGCCGCGGUAA